rnacentral:piRNA from 1 species
GGUUAAAAGAGGGGGAGAUGAUAA